UAUAGGAGUGAUGGUUGCAUACAGGUCGCAGUAUUAAAGGAGGCAGGCAGCAUUCAGUACCGUGCUGAUGAAAAAAGUGCACAGGGAUCACUCAAGUCAUC
rnacentral:snoRNA from 1 species